rnacentral:rRNA from 1 species
CGAAAGCCUGACGGAGCAAGACCGCGUGAGGGAGGAAGGCUCUUGGGUUGUAAACCUCUUUUCUCAGGGAAGAAGAUCUGACGGUACCUGAGGAAUCAGCCUCGGCUAACUCCGUGCCAGCAGCCGCGGUAAUACGGAGGAGGCAAGCGUUAUCCGGAAUUAUUGGGCGUAAAGCGUCCGCAGGUGGCGAUUCAAGUCUGCUGUCAAAGCACGGGGCUUAACUCCGUAAAGGCAGUGGAAACUGAAUAGCUAGAGUGCCGUAGGGGUAGAGGGAAUUCCCGGUGUAGCGGUGAAAUGCGUAGAGAUCGGGAAGAACAUCGGUGGCGAAAGCGCUCUACUGGACGGCAACUGACACUCAGGGACGAAAGCUAGGGGAGCG